GUGUUCGCUUGGGCGGCACAUACUCUAAAAUUGGAACGAUAUAGAGAAGAUGAGCAUGGCGCCUGCGCAAGGAUGACACACAAAUUCGUGAAGCAUUCCAUAUUUUU
rnacentral:snRNA from 1 species